rnacentral:snRNA from 1 species
AGCCAGAGGAAACUCUGGUGGAA